AUUGAACGCUGGCGGCAUGCCUUACACAUGCAAGUCGAACGGUAACGCGGGGCAACCUGGCGACGAGUGGCGAACGGGUGAGUAAUAUAUCGGAACGUGCCCAGUAGUGGGGGAUAGCCCGGCGAAAGCCGGAUUAAUACCGCAUACGACCUACGGGUGAAAGGGGGGGAUCGCAAGACCUCUCGCUAUUGGAGCGGCCGAUAUCAGAUUAGGUAGUUGGUGGGGUAAAAGCCCACCAAGCCAACGAUCUGUAGCUGGUCUGAGAGGACGACCAGCCACACUGGGACUGAGACACGGCCCAGACUCCUACGGGAGGCAGCAGUGGGGAAUUUUGGACAAUGGGCGAAAGCCUGAUCCAGCCAUGCCGCGUGCGGGAAGAAGGCCUUCGGGUUGUAAACCGCUUUUGUCAGGGAAGAAAUCCUUUGAGUUAAUACCUCGGGGGGAUGACGGUACCUGAAGAAUAAGCACCGGCUAACUACGUGCCAGCCGCCGCGGUAACAC
rnacentral:rRNA from 1 species